rnacentral:rRNA from 1 species
GACGAACGCUGGCGGCGUGCUUAACACAUGCAAGUCGAACGGGUCUGCCCUGUUUUUUGCGGGGUGGGUCAGUGGCGAACGGGUGAGUAACACGUGAGUAACCUGCCCCUCACUUCUGGAUAACCGCUUGAAAGGGUGGCUAAUACGGGGUGUUCUGGCUGUGCCGCAUGGUGUGGCUGGGAAAGAUUCACUUUUGUGGUGUUUUGGUGGGGGAUGGGCUCGCGGCCUAUCAGCUUGUUGGUGGGGUGAUGGCCUGCCAAGGCUUUGACGGGUAGCCGGCCUGAGAGGGUGGGCGGUCACACUGGGACUGAGAUACGGCCCAGACUCCUGGGGGGGGCAGCAGUGGGGGGUAUUGCACAAUGGGCGGAAGCCUGAUGCAGCGACGUCGCGGGAGGGAUGGAGGCCUUCGGGUUGUGAACCUCUUUCGCCGGUGAAGAAGGUCCUGCUCUUUGGGGUGGGGUUGACGGUAGCCGGGUUAUGAAGCGCCGGCUAACUACGUG